rnacentral:rRNA from 1 species
UACGUAGGCAGCGAGCGUUGUUCGGAGUUACUGGGCGUAAAGGGUGUGUAGGCGGUUGCUUAAGUUUGGUGUGAAAUCUCCCGGCUCAACUGGGAGGGUGCGCCGAAUACUGAGUGACUCGAGUGCGGGAGAGGAGAGUGGAAUUCCUGGUGUAGCGGUGAAAUGCGUAGAUAUCAGGAGGAACACCGGUGGUGUAGGCGGCUCUCUGGACCGUAACUGACGCUGAGACACGAAAGCGUGGGUAGCAAACAGG